rnacentral:lncRNA from 1 species
CUUAACCUAAUUUAACGCCGUGUCAAUUGCGAAAACGCGGGAAAAAAAAGUACUCGACUCUUGUCCACACAGGAGGAUCGUGGAUAAAGUAAUUAACGGCGUUCGAGCGUGUCGUCUCAGUUUAUAAAAGCGGAGGGAGUGGGGCUCCUGGGCAAAAUAGUGUUUCACGUGUCCGCGUAUCAGUUCAGUUUGCACCUUCGCCGUCUUCGAAGAUGAGAUCGAGGCUGGCUGGCGACGAUCGAUCGCUUCCUGGGAUCCGCGCGCGCGUGCCUCGAAUGUUCGAUUGAAAUUUUGAUAAAAUUUUUGCGGGGAGGAAAAGAAGGGUGGAAAAGGCAAUUUCAUUCCCUCCCUCGUGUUUUCCUUUUAUUUGCAAUACAAUAAUAUUCGUUUAUACCAGAAGAGAAAAAUCGCGUUGGGACGGCCGAAUUUAAAGUGAAAGGGAUAUUCACGGAGGCGGAGGCAAGGAGAAGAGAGUUUGCUUGGAGUCAUUGUGCUUUCUAAAGGGGGGGAAAAAAAAGAAAAAAAAAGAAGGGGGAGAAAAAAGUGUCUCGAGCGUCUCUUUGGGUUCAGUCACGUGCCACGAUACUCACAAAAAGGAAGUGUGAAUCGGGAAAGUAAUCCCGGAAGCCGAAAGACCGGGGGCGGUAAAUUCCAACCGCGGAGGAUUUGGGGUGCGAACCGCGUUGUCCUAAUGACACGUCGGCGAUAAAGCGUCGACUCGCAACAGGGGAUCGAAGGUCACAAAGCGUGGCAAACCCAUGCCUUAUUGUUAUCCCCUACUGCGGGAUACGCAUCAACGAGGAUCCUGCAGAUUUAAAAUAUCUCCUUCCCUGAAGGAUUAAAUUCUAAAACUUCUCCGAACCAUUGGAUCUAAAUAAUUCAAAAAUUAAACGAGUUCCUUACCCAUAUUCCAUUUAACUCACCAAUGAAACAGACUUCCCUCCUCCACGCUCGAUUAUCCACAACGCUCUCGCUUCUUCAAAUUAUCCGAUCGUGACGAGUGAAGAGAGGCUCAAUAAUAACCAUGGAAGUUGGGAUACUGCGACAGAUAUAUAUUGGGAUCGUUUGUAAGUAAGAGAAAACUAUAUUAUACAAGAUCGAACCAUUAAAGUAUAUUAAACUUACGUAAAGACAAGAUAAAAUAGCACACCGAUACUAUCUAUUUGAAUUUUAUAAUAUUUAGUCUUCUUUCU